rnacentral:rRNA from 1 species
GACGAACGCUGGCGGCGUGCUUAACACAUGCAAGUCGAACGGAAAGGCCCUGCUUGCAGGGUACUCGAGUGGCGAACGGGUGAGUAACACGUGGGUGAUCUGCCCUGCACUUCGGGAUAAGCUUGGGAAACUGGGUCUAAUACCGGAUAGGAACCAUCUUUAGUGUGGUGGUUGGAAAGCUUUUUCGGUGUAGGAUGAGCUCGCGGCCUAUCAGCUUGUUGGUGGGGUAAUGGCCUACCAAGGCGGCGACGGGUAGCCGGCCUGAGAGGGUGUACGGCCACAUUGGGACUGAGAUACGGCCCAGACUCCUACGGGAGGCAGCAGUGGGGAAUAUUGCACAAUGGGCGCAAGCCUGAUGCAGCGACGCCGCGUGGGGGAUGAAGGCCUUCGGGUUGUAAACUCCUUUCGCUAGGGACGAAGCUUUGUUGUGACGGUACCUAGAUAAGAAGCACCGGCUAACUACGUG